UGUUCCAUGUGCUGCUGUAGUUGACUCUUCUGCAUCAUGCCAAUCAAAGGUAACGUCAACCCUCUUGUUUAAUUCAGAAACGUUACACAGCUACAUUGAAUUUAACAAUGGGUGUCUAAACUUUUCCAUACCCGGUGAUUUUAAUAAUUGAUUAACAUCACAACUCGCCAUGGAAUAAGAAUUGAUUAAGAAUGCACUUAGGGCCUAAUAUAAUUUUUUUUGGCUCUGCCAUCCUAAUGAGACACAUAAAAUGCUGUCUACAACUAGCUUUGUGUGGAUAUAUUUGCCAUAGAAAAUAAUAGUUAAACGGUAACGUUAACAUAACUGUGUUUGUGAAAACGCUGUUUUACACUCUGAAUUUUCUUUUUUAAAGGAUGACACAAGGCAUGACACUUUGACCAGACAAGCCACUGCUAUUAUGUUGACUGCAAGAGAAAAACGCCAUCUUUCACAGCGAGGUGUGAAUGACGUUUUGGCAGCAAUGCAGCAAUACCAAGCUCUGUUGGUGACCAAUCUAAGGAGUCGGCUUCAAACUGUAUUCCAGCAACAUCCAGGAAGUGAUCUUGAAAAGGAAGCGAUGGCAGUAUUUGACCAGAUUGAGGAACCAUUUGCCUCUGUUGCAACAACAUACAGGCAGGACAAUGUCAUUAAAGGAUAAAAGGGGUUAUCUUUAAUAACCCUAUCAGCAUGGUGCCGUGAUGCGGAUCCCAACAUAUCAGCUCGCUGACGAGAGGAGCGGACACGUUGAAACCCACCGGUGGUCUGAGUCAAGGACCUGUCUAAAGUCCUGGGAGGUAAUUUCCUCGCUGGGUCAGCGUCAUAGGUUAACUCCUUUCGCCAACGAGGGAUUGACGGGAUCCGACCGGGAGAAAAGCACACCACAG